UGCCAGCAGCCGCGGUAAUACGUACUGGGCGAACGUUAUUCGGAAUCACUGGGCUUAAAGGGUGCGUAGGCGGCUUAUCAGGUCUGAUGUGAAAUCUUACGGCUCAACCGUAAAAUUGCGUUGGAAACCGGUAAGCUUGAGUAGACUAGGGGUGUGUGGAACUUCCUGUGGAGCGGUGAAAUGUGUUGAUAUGGGAAGGAACGCCGGUGGCGAAAGCGACACACUGGGGUCUAACUGACGCUGAGGCACGAAAGCUAGGGUAGCGAACGGGAUUAGAUA
rnacentral:rRNA from 1 species